UCAACGCUGGCGGCGUGCCUAACACAUGCAAGUCGAACGAGAAAGUGGGAGCAAUCCCAUGAGUACAGUGGCGAACGGGUGGGUAACACGUGACUAACCUACCUUCCAGUGGGGGAUAACCUCGGGAAACCGGGGCUAAGACCGUAUAAUCUCGCGAGGUGAGAAUCCUGGUGAGCAAAGGGGUAAGACGCUGGUAGAGGGGGUCGCGGCCGAUUAGCUAGUUGGCGGGGUAACGGCCCACCAAGGCGAUGAUCGGUAGCCGGCCGGAGAGGGCGCACGGCCACACUGGAACUGAAACACGGUCCAGACUCCUACGGGAGGCAGCAGUGGGGAAUUUUGCACAAUGGGGGAAACCCUGAUGCAGCAACGCCGCGUGGAGGAUGAAGUCCCUUGGGACGUAAACUCCUUGCGACCGGGACGAUAAUGACGGGACCGGGGGAAGAAGCCCCGGCUAACUCCGU
rnacentral:rRNA from 1 species